GGGACUGUAGGAUAAUGGUAGUCCGAGCGGCUCCAGACCGCUAAGAGGGGGUUCGAUUCCCUCCUGUCCCA
rnacentral:tRNA from 1 species